rnacentral:lncRNA from 1 species
GAUCUGGCUGAGGAGGAAGUGGAGGUGUCACUGGCCCCGGCCUUUGCCCCAAUCUUGUGUGGGCACUGAAGGGGGACUACAGGGCAGAGGAACCCCGUGCCCCGCCCCUUUCCUGUCAUCUCAGACGAACGCAGCGACAUCCUGAGGAAGGCGCAUCACAAUAGGGGAUAAGGUGGUGGGCAGCCUCCCUCUGGGUGAAGAGGAGUGAGACCCCACUAACGUGCUGCGUGGUUUUAUGUUGUAACCAUUUUACGUGUGGUUAUGGGUGCUACAUGUGUGCUUUCAGAGCAGUAGUGUGAGGAAGCUUGGAGUGGGAUGGCAGGACGGCCUCAUCCCUAUGAUGGUAACUCCAGUGAUCCAGAGAAUUGGGAUCGGAAAUUGCAUAGUAGACCUCGUAAACUUUAUAAACAUUCAAGUACUUCCUCGCGUAUUGCUAAAGGAGGAGUUGACCACACCAAAAUGAGUCUACAUGGUGCUAGUGGGGGACAUGAGAGAUCAAGAGAUAGAC